GAAAUGCGAUAAGUAAUGUGAAUUGCAGAAUUCAGUGAAUCAUCGAAUCUUUGAACGCACAUUGCGCCCGCCAGUAUUCUGGCGGGCAUGCCUGUCCGAGCGUCAUUUCAACCAUCAAGCCCCCGGGCUUGUGUUGGGGACCUGCGGCUGCCCGCAGGCCCUGAAAACCAGUGGCGGGCUCGCUGUCACACCGAGCGUAGUAGCAAUCACCUCGCUCAGGGCGUGCUGCGGGUUCCGGCCGUUAAACAGCCUUAAAAAACCCAAGGUUGACCUCGGAUCAGGUAGGAAGACCCGCUGAACUUAAGC
rnacentral:misc_RNA from 1 species